AUAGUGUAGAAACUAGGUCUAGUGGCAUUGGAUAUGUGAUUCUAGCAGUUGUUCACUCUUUUAUUCUAAUGCAUCAUAACAUGAUAGGGCCUUUAGUAACUGGAGUUAACAUGAGUGGGUGGGAAGUGUUCUCAUGGUGUGUGUGUAUACACACACACACACACACACACACCAACGUAUGGACGAAACUGAGUUUAAAACACCAUGUCUGGCUUGGAGCAAUGUUGAAGUUACAUAGAACCCCAUCAUUAGCAAGGUUAGAACAAGAGCAUUUUAUGAAAUUUAUGACUUUGUUGUAAUAAUCCAAGAGGAUGCAUUCAUUUAACGAUGGCAUAGAAACUAGUAAUGAAGGAAUCAUUCCCAAAAGGACAUGAUGUGUAGCAUGAUUUUAGAACUUGAAGUGCAAAUUUUGUCCGCUAAGAAUGGCCAUUCCAACUAAGGAAUUACCUCCUCUUCUCAAGUAGCCUUGAGUACUUGAUGAAGAGACCUUUUUUUUAAAACCUUCCCUCCCAUUUUUUAAAAUCAUUAGCCCUUGACCUUGUGCAUAAUCGGUUGGACUUGAUGGCUCUAAUGAGUCUGUUCUUCUUCAACUUCCAACCUUGGUGACUAUUAAACCUGUUUGACUUUGCUUUUUGGUAGGUAACUAACUUGGGACCUAUAAAACAAUACCAGAAGGUAAAAUGGAUUAGAUAGAUGAUCACAAUCAUUGUUAUCAUCGUUGUUGCAAGACGUGCGUUAUUCGUUGCAAGACGUGCAUUCACACCAUCCCCUAAUUGACAUAAUCUUAUACUCAUUUUAUACCUAUGAAGGCACUUAAUUCAAUGUUUCUGAAUUGGCAGUAGAAAUAUGAAUCCAAGAAUUAUUCAUUUGACACAAUAUCUAUCUUUUUGUAUAUGAAUUGAAUCUGUUUAUUCUGUGUGCUCAUAUCUUUGAGAGGUUGUGGUGCAGGUACAAAGCAUAGGGUGCUCUUUUGGGAAAACAGUUAGCAGAAAGAGAUAUCAUAGUCCUUAACUUUAUGAUAAGGACUAAAAAAUCAGGCUAACUUGAGAUUCAGAAAGAGAUAUCAUAGUCCUUAGCACUUCCCUAACUAUCUGAAUCAGCUCUAUCAUUUCAUCUCCAAUCAUGAUGACCCCCAGGUUGCUUCGAAGAACAUCAUUCUUAAUUCUAUCCGUCUAGUGCACAUCCAUCUCAAAAUCCUAAACAUUUUCCCUAUGUUAUUCCUUCAUAAUGGUCCAAACCUCUCCUCCGUAGCUGAUCUAAUAGCUGUCUUAUAAAACUUUUCCACAAGUUUAAUUGGAAUGUUGCGAUCACACAGCACUCUAGAGGCUCAACUAUUGGGAAAAAGAAGCUCAUUAUGAUGUUUCAGAGUUUAUAUUAUUGGAUGCAACAGCAACAUCUGUAUAAAUUUUAUAUUAUGUCAUUCUCUCAUAGGUUGCCAGUAAUGGAGAGAAAGCCAGGGAGAUACAAGCUGAAGUUCUUGAGCACAUGGAACUCUCAAAAUCACUUCUAGAGGUCUUUUUCUCUUCACCCUUGUAAUAUAUUGAUAUUCACCUAAGGUCUUUAACUUCUUCCAUGCACUUUUGUAUUUAACCUGUCUAAGAUUACCUGAAUUGUGCAGGAUGUAAUCCAUCUAGAGUCCAUUCAAUCAUUCCCGAAGCGAAUUGAUUGAUUCGAUUCCUUGGUGGAGAAGUUCAUAACACCCUACCCCGAUAACCCGGAUAUGAUGAGUAUCACCGAGAGAGAAGAGUUGUCUAGCAUAUUCUUGGAGUUUCUGGAUCUAUUUGGAGACCCACAAUCAAUCAAGAAGGCUGAAAAUCAGCACUUUAAGCUGUUUUCACACCAAAAGAGUGUGUCAGAGUCUAAAAAACGGUGUGCUGAAGAUUUUUUGGCUUCAAAGAAGGCAAAGAUGACCAAGUCUUAUGCUGUUGUUCCUUCACAAGCUCAAUUGCUCAUAGGUGCAUAUCCACAUGCACAGAACCAGUGGGCUGCAGAUUAUGGACUUCAACCUCAAGCUUGGCCACAGGCUCCUCAAGCAUCGGGCCAGCAGUGGAAUCCUACCUAUUCUCAAUAGGAUCCGUGUGGAAUCCGACAGUUGAGGAGCAAGCAAUCAUGCGAAUUCACCGUAUUGGUCAUAAACGAAAGGUGUGUGUUAGGUGAUUCAUAGUCAAGGUAAAUUUGACUUGCUAUUAUACUUGAGCACAAGCCCUAUUCCUACUCAUUGCAGAUCUAGCCGUUUAUCGGGACGACCACACCAUGUGUGGCCUGAAAAUUAGUCCGGUUAGACUGUUGGUAAAUUUGUUUUUGGCAUUGCAUUGCUCUCAUAAACAUGAUCCCAAUGUCGAUCAGAUUCAUCUAUUUUGGGCAAAUGCACAUACAUUACCUAUCUAAUGAAUGAAUGGCCUAAAUCUCACAGACAUGCCACAUUGGCCAUCAACAUUUGGAAUAUGAUCAACUAUUAUUUAUUCUUUAUCUGGAGAUGUCCACCAUCAUCUCUAUAUGUGAGCAAUGGAUGAUUAGAUAAACUUCAAAUAAGCACUGAGAUUACAUUAUGGACAGGACACGGUUGAGGAGCACAUGCAACAAGUUCAAGCAAGGAAGCAACGGAUGAUUGAAGGCGCUCUCACAGAUGAGGAAGUGAGAACUUCUCGAAUUGAAGAGCUGAAAAUGCCAUUUAGAUGAUUUUUUUCCUUUUUUUCUUUUUCAUAUUUUCCUAAGAUAUAUAGGAAGAGAGAAUUAUACAGUAUGUUUUUGUAUAGCAUGGAUCUUCCUUUGUAAGUUCUUGUUUAUGUUAAUCUUUUUUGUCUCAGCAUAGUGGGCUGUUUUUCAUUACAGAUGAAUGUAAAAUCUUUGAGGUUCUCUUUUAAGGAUAACCAAUUUAAA